GAGACAACUGGUAGUGACUCCUCCCAGAAAGACAAUGGAAAGGAGCAGAACAGAAGCUCCGAGGGCGUCUUCAGGGAACGGAAGUAGAGGGCGCUGUUCACUGGUGCCUUUGAGAUCAGGUUUUCUGAGACAAUGUAAAGGACCUCCAUGAAUGGAGGAUCAGCAACCUGGAACCCUGGAUGUGCCAGACACCCUGUCUCUUCUGACCAGACAUUUGCUCUACCUCCUUAGUUCAGGGAACAAGAGAAUGCAUGCUUGUAGCACUUCUCAAAACUUUUGUCCAGAUCCCUGACAAGACAGUUUUAAUUGCUCAUUGGUUUUCUGUACCAUCAGCAGGGAUGACAAUUUCCUCUUCCCCACCAGCUCACCAGCGGUUGGUAUAUAUUCUUUCUAUCUGGCCCCUUCAGCUUCUCCUAUUUCAUGUUAUUGUUAUCUGCCACCAUGAGUCCUCGCUUUAGUGAUAAGGGGAAUUAAAAUGAAGGUGAUGCUAUGAACUUAUUACAAAAGCUGUCAUUGGAAAGGAAGAGAGAAGAUGGGGAAAGGACACGGGCUUGAGCAACAGCUGGAGGAUCACAUUCUCCUGAAGAGGAUCAGACUCCCUAAGUGACUAACAGGCCUGUAUGCAGAGCUGAGAAAGAUUU
rnacentral:lncRNA from 1 species